AAUAAACGCUGGCGGCGUGCCUAACACAUGCAAGUCGAGCGAGAAAGCUCCUUCGGGAGUGAGUACAGCGGCGAACGGGUGAGCAACGCGUGGGAAUCUACCCUUCAGUGAAGAAUACCCUUGAGAAAUCGAGGUUAAUACUGCAUACGUCCUGUAAAGGAGAAAGAUGGCCUCUUUGCUGUCGUUGAAGGAUGAGCAUGCGAAAUAUUAGCUAGUUGGAGGGGUAACGGCCCACCAAGGCAAGGAUCAGUCGCCGGUCUGAGAGGAUGAACGGCGACAUUGGGACUGAGCCACGGCCCAAAAUCCUACGGGAGGCAGCAUUGGGGAAUCUUCCGAAAUGGACGAAAGUCUGACGGAGCAACGCCGCGUGAGUGAUGAAGGUCUUCGGAUUGUAAAGCUCUGAUAAUCGGGACGAAAGAGUUCUGCGUGAAUAAUGCAGAAAAGUGACGGUACCGGAAUAGAAAGCCACGGCUAACUACGUGCCAGCCGCCGCCGUAA
rnacentral:rRNA from 1 species